rnacentral:rRNA from 1 species
GACAGCAGCCGCCGCGGUAAUACGUAGGUGGCAAGCGUUGUCCGGAAUUAUUGGGCGUAAAGCGCGCGCAGGCGGAUAGGUCAGUCUGUCUUAAAAGUUCGGGGCUUAACCCCGUGAUGAGAUGGAAACUGCCAAUCUAGAGUAUCGGAGAGGAAAGUGGAAUUCCUAGUGUAGCGGUGAAAUGCGUAGAUAUUAGGAAGAACACCAGUGGCGAAGGCGACUUUCUGGACGAAAACUGACGCUGAGGCGCGAAAGCCAGGGGAGCGAACGGGAUUAGAUACCCCUGUAGUCUCUGUCUCUUAUACA